rnacentral:lncRNA from 1 species
UCUCAUAUGGACGUCCCAUGCUGGUUUUCCCAUGAAAAUCUACGGCCACGUCUCAACGCAGCAAGGACAGCGACGGUGAGACCCCGGAGCUGCACUCGCUUCCCACCAGUGCCCUCUGGGAAGCUGUCAAAGGCUAAACUGUGGACCAGAACUCAGGCUUUGAUUUCACCUGGCUAAACAACAAAAGUUCCAGAAAGGGAGAGCUGAAACUGGCAAGAAAACAAAGCACAAAAUGCCUCCCCGGGAUGUAAGCGUCUCUGCCCUGCAGCCUGAGAUCAGCUGAUUGGCCAGCAUCCUGCACUGCUCAGGAAUAUUAAACCUGCCCGGCUCCGACAACUUUCAAGAUAAGUUCAAGAGCCUUGUUCUCUGGAAAAAGAACCACGGAGUCAGAGCGACACAUGGGACCAGUCAGCAAAGCCCUGGAGCCUCUUCCGUCCUCUCCACUGCCAGAACCUCAUAUUAUACAGGACUCUGUUUAUGACCUCAUGACUCACUAUAUUUAACAUGGAAACGAUCUCUCUCAAAAUCCACAAGGAGAUGAGAACACUGACCUAUCAAAGUAAAGUAAAAAUGACCUAAUCAUUUUGGAUCCAAUACUUUUUAAGUGUUCAGAAAUAAAUGUUUUAGAUACAGGAAAAAUAGCUAUUUGCCUAAAUCCAGUUAGAAAUUGAAAAUUAAUAUUUUUAGUUCUUAUAAUACUGUAACUUAAUAGAUACCCUUCAAAUUGUCUUACAUCAGUAUAGAAAUAUCUGUUUCUCCUGAGGACAACUGACCGACCCCACAAAAGUAAGUGGGUAAAAGAAAUGUAAG